GGGGGAAACCCUGAUCCAGCAAUGCCAUGUGUGUUGAAGAAGGCUCUAGGGUUGUAAAGCACUUUAGUUGGGGAGGAAAGCCUAUAAGUUAAUAGCUUGUAGGAAGGUACGUUACCCAAAGAAUAAGGACCGGCUAACUCCGUGCCAGCAGCCGCGGUAAUACGGGGGGUGCAA
rnacentral:rRNA from 1 species